rfam:Picea glauca, whole genome shotgun sequence.
ACAUGCCUACAACAUAGAGUUAAUGCACCAUAUCCCAUUAGAACUUCACAAUUAAGUUCACUUAGGAUAGAGUAUUACUAGGAUGGAUGACCACCUGAGAACUCCUAGUGUUUUACAUGCC